GGUGGCUCAGUGGUAGAGCGUUUGCCUUGCAUGCGUGAGGCCCUGAGUUCGAUUCCUAGUACCA
rnacentral:tRNA from 1 species